UUAAUUUGACUCAACACGGGAAAACUCACCCGGCCCAGACACCGUGGGGAUUGACAGAUUGAGAGCUCUUUCUUGAUUCGGUGGAUGGUGGUGCAUGGCCGUUCUUAGUUGGUGGAGCGAUUUGUCUGGUUAAUUCCGAUAACGAACGAGACCCUAGCCUGCUAAAUAGUCUGCCAAUGGCACAGCUGUUGCGCAGAAUUUCUUAGAGGGACCGCCGGCUUACGAAGCCGGAUGAUGCUGGGCAAUAACAGGUCUGUGAUGCCCUUAGAUGUUCGGGGCCGCACGCGCGCUACACUGGAGGAAUCAGCGUGCUUUCCCUGCUCUGAAAGGAGUGGGUAAUCAUGUGAAACUCUUCCGUGCUGGGGAUAGGGGAUUGCAAUUAUUUCCCUUGAACGAGGAAUUCCCAGUAAGUGCAAGUCAUAAGCUUGCGCUGAUUACGUCCCUGCCCUUUGUACACACCGCCCGUCGCUACUACCGAUUGAAUGUAUCGACAAGGCAUAUGGAUCUGGCCUCUGAGGUCCGUUCGCGGACCUCUGUUGGCGUGGAGAAGUAAGUCAAGUCGCUAC
rnacentral:rRNA from 1 species